rnacentral:misc_RNA from 1 species
GUAUAGUUUUUGCAUACUUGUUUAGAAAAUGUUUAUGGAAAUGAUUUGGCUGAAUGGUAUAUAUGAUUAGAUGUACGCUGUAGUCGGCCUGUGACCUCUUGGUAUUUGUUGAGAUAUGCAACUUGGGCGUUUAUGUUUUCUUUGUAAAUAAUAGCUCAGUAUUACAUUAUCUCAGAAAAGACUUGCCUUUAGCAAUUCAAGGGGCAAUUUGUGGGAAGUUUUUCGUGCAUAUGCUUUGCAGUGCUUUCUAUACAAUAGAUUUUAGUCUGCUAUUCGGUGAUUAUUGGACUUGGUGUGGUAGGUUUAACUAAACUUCCAUUCCCAAGAGUAUGUGUGCACAUGCCUUCUCUCAUGGCUAUGCUUAUCUAGUGGUGUGGAAGGGUGAAAUAUUAUUUUUGAUCGUCUUGCAGACACAGGAUGUAAAUUUUGCAAUG